rnacentral:lncRNA from 1 species
UCAAACUCUUUUCCUCACACACACACACACACACACUCACUCUCUCCUUCCAAAUAUCUCCAUUUUCCCUCUUAAUCUCCGCCAUUAACGUUUCUCUGUGCUUAAGCUCAAACCGUAACAAUGACGGACGUAACUGAUGAUAUAGCUGAGGAGAUAUCAUUUCAGGGAUUUGAAGAUGAUUGUAGGCUCCUUCAGAGCCUUCUUAACGAUGUUCUUAACAGGGAAGUUGGUCCUCAAUUCAUGGAAAAAGUUGAACGUACUCGCGUCCUUGCUCAGGUCCCAUCCUUAGUGUUAGAUUUCACAUUUUCCGCUGCCCUCUGCUCAUUUUUUUUGUUUGUUUGUAAGGUGUUCAUUGAAAAACGGUAUUUAUUUAUUUUUACGACGACAAAAUUUUUCUCAGCCAUGACCUGAAUUUUUCUCUUUCAAUUUAACUUGACAACCGUAGUGGGACGGAGCUGGAGACCAAGGUACGGGUUCGGUCGAACCAGAACCUGGUAACCUUGGUUUAAACUAUGUAUUUAUCUUAAAAAUUCUAUAUAAAUUAUUAAUUUAAAAUCCAGUAACUUAAAAAGGCUAAACCAGUAAGCUUCAAAUCUGGCUCCGCCUGCUUAACUAUUGUCCAUGGAGUUUCGAACCAUGUGCUAUUGGCCCUCGAGAUUUUCGAAUUAUCAAAAAAAGUUCAUGUGUUGUUUUUGCUCUGUUCCCUGCAUGGGUUGAUAGUUCGGUAUAUAAAGUUAUCUGGGUUUGCUUCUUCUCUGUUUGCAGUUGUGCCCUUGUAUAUGCAUGUGAUAAAAAAUCGUGUUGGUUUAGUGCUUCAUGCUCUUUGAUGCGUCUGUUUUCUGUAUCUGAGUCAGAGUUGAUACAUUUUGAAUGAUUUGCAUGUGUUGUUGUGUCAAGUUUUAGUACCUAUAGCUGAUCUUUUGAAUAGAGGCAGAUCCAGGAUUUUUGAUAUGAUGGGUUCAAGUUUGAGAUUCCACCACAGCCCCAUUUGAUUUACUGGGUUCAAAAUCUAUCAUUUGUACUUAUUUAGUAGAUUUUCUAAUAUAUAUAUAUAUUUAGAGUUUAAAUCAAAGCUACCAGGUUAGAUGAACCCAUAAUUUGUACACUAGAUCCGCCCCUGCUUUUGAAAUCCGUUUUAAGACCUAUAUUAAACAAUUAACACAAUGCGGAAGUUUGCUGAAAUGUGGGUAUAUUUUCCAAACAUUUGUUUGGUUUUGAACAUCUUUUUGUGGUUCCUUUUUGAUGUCUCAAUGGGUUGGUUUCUUUGUUCAAAAGGGCUGUGCUAAGUGUGGAAUCUACAAUUUCUGGUGUUCAGAUAUGUGUAACAUUAUACUAAUUGGAAUUGCUGAAAUGUGGGUAUAUUUUCCAAACAUUUUUUUGGUUUUGAACAUCUUUUUGUGGUUCCUUUUUGAUGUCUCAAUGGGUUGGUUUCUUUGUUCAAAAGGGCUGUGCUAAGUGUGGAAUCUACAAUUUCUGGUGUUCAGAUAUGUGUAAUUAUACUAAUUGGAAGUUUUGUUGUAACCUUAGGGUGCCUGUAACAUGAGAAUGGCGGGAAUUGAGGAUACAGCAGAG